ACAGAUGGGUAAACCAAGGAACACAGAGGGGAUGACUGAAGAUGAACCCAGCAUUUCUCAAGUUCCACGUUUCUCUUUUCCUGCCAUAAUGAAAAAAGUGCAACUCCACUGAUAUCGGUAAAAUCAGUCCCAACUUGUAUAAUGGAAGAAGUUCAAGCCUGAGGUAUUUUAUGACUGUUAUGAAAACAUGCUACAGUAUAGAAUGUGUUACUUCUGUAUAUGUAUAAUCUACCUUACACAGUGUUUUAUAUCAUGUAGCCUGAUUUUUUAAAUACUUGGCAAAAUUAAACUCCUAAAGUAAUAGUAAGUUUUCAUAUUUCUCUAAAUUAAUGAUAAUUAAUUAAAUUCCUUAAAUCCAGAAAAUUGACAAGGUUCUACUUAG